UUGAAAAAAAAAGUAUUGGUUAGUUACUUUAUCUGCUAGUUAUUAGUCUAGAUUGGCAUGUCCACCGAAGUUGUUUUUCCUGGUUUAUGAGUCUUUGGAAGACUGAGAUUCAUGCUUAUCAACUUCCUGUUUACAUCCCAGUGCCAGAAUGUGGUCUCAGGGUGGAGGUUCCUCUUCUGAGGUCCAGGAUAGAGGAGGGGUGACUCCCUAGAGGAAACAGAAGCUUAUGCCAAACUCAGGGAGUUGGUUCAUCCUGUCUCACUGGGGUGUGUGUGUGUGUGUGUGUGUGUGUGUGUGUGUGUGUGUGUGUGUGCGCGUGUGCGCGUGCGUGUGUGCGUGUGUGUGUCAUUUUGAGUAUAAGAUCUUAAAUACUUGAGAACGUUGAGAACUUGGGGGAAGAGGGAUGUAGUGGCCAAGAUCUAGUGCUAGGAUGUACUGUGGAAACCAGGGUCGAAUAGCCUGGGAGCCAGACCCAGUGAAGAUGUCAGAGGCCGCCUGACCCAGCACACUGGCCUAUCAGAUAUAUCUAUCACUUUACAUCUGGUGAGAGGUUUUUAUUUUAAUUUUGUAAAAAGUUACUAACUCCUGGUUAGCUGAUAUUUUAAUGAAGGGAUGGUUCUCCUUUUCUAAGUCAUUUCUGAUAUUUACAUAUUUAUUUUGCUAUAAGAGGGAAAACAUGAGCCAAGUCAUAAUUAAUCCCAUGACAUCACUGAUAUUCAACUCAUGCCAGUACACAUGACCUGUAGGAACUUGGUCAAGUCUCUGAUAUUAAGUUUCUUCUAAUGCAAGAGUGAGAGAGAGGAACUAUUCUGUCUGUGUUAUAAGGGUAUAGUGAGGGUUGAAAGGGUUUCAUUCAUGCUUUUCAACAAGAACUCUGCCACCAAGGCACUUAGGUCGCAGUGUGUUUUCUCAGUUAUAGCCUUCCCUAGAAGUCCAAUGGGGAAAACAAACAAAAAGGAUGGGAACAGGGGCCAAAGUUCUGCUUGCUUAUCCCAACUAAGCUUCCCAGUGGACUUUGGAAGAUCUGCUUGAAACUCUCAUCAAGAGAUAUCUUCACACAUGUGAGGGACAUAAGCUGAGAGCCCGAGUCACUCCCGAGUUUAACUUUCUCUGGAAAAGACCAGAACUCUUUCAUCGUAAGAACUUCAGGUUGAGAAUCUCCGUGCAUCUGGCAGCUGUGAGGCAGAGUCAGCAAGAGCCUUCCUUAAAUUUGGCAGUGCCUUAAGUUUUAACAAGAGUUCUCAGGCCUGACUCCGCUUUUGCAAGUGUUCCAAAACCCAAGAAAGAGUCUUAAACGUGCAUGAAACUAUAUACACUAAGAAGCUAAAGAAAAGAUUGUUCAAAUCAAACCAAAAGACCGGAAGACAUUCCCUAUGUGUAGGUUACUUUUAUGGAUUCUAAUAGAUAACUAACCGAAAGACCAUGCUGAACAUUUUGCAAAAGUAAUAUGCAUAAAAAGAUCUCAUUGUGUUAAAACACAGGAUUCAUAAGUAGAUGUGGAUUACUAAUUGCUUUCUUGCACAUGGUGAAAUGUUUUGCUGAGUGCUUUAUAUACAGUGCUUUAUAUGCUCAACUGACAGAAAUCCAGAGAUAUCUCUCCUUCCCUACCCCGUUCAUAUCCACGGUCUUCAUGGUACCACUCACAAAACCCACGUUAGAUCAUCAAGCUACAUGCCUACCAGUGGAUUAAUGGGUGAAGAAGAUACUGUGACACAUGUGUGCAAUGGAGUUAAUUAGAAGAGAAUCAACAACAACAUGACAAAAAAUUAUCACAGUUCCACAAGGAAACCUACAAGAAAACAAACCACCAAAAAGGCUUGAAGUGGAAAUCAUGUCAAACACUAGACUCCGAACAGCAAAUGUCACAUGCUUUCUCUCAUAUCUGGAAGUUACGUUCAAAAUGUCUGUGCAUAAGAAAGCAAAGUAGAAGGGCACUAUCUAGAAGAAGGAACAGAGGGAAGGAAAGGAGAAAUAGGAAAGGGUCAUGGGAAGAAAAUUGAGGAAAUGUAUGCAUAAAAAGGUCCUAGUGAAGACUAGCAUAUAGUAAAAUGCUAAAGAGAAAAAAAAGAAAAGAAAAAGUAAUUUUUAUCAGCUUUCAUCAGGAAUAUUAAACCAUAGUUUCUUCCUUUUGUAAAAUGGCCAUGCUGUCAAAAUAACUUCUAAAUAUUUAUGUUUUUCCCUAUAGAGCUGGACUAGUCUGAGCCUUGGUGACUGUACAAUAGAGAAUGUAGAGGCUCAUAACUGGUCAAAGAGCAAGUGAAGUUCCUAAACACAUGUACAGAAGAACAACACUAAAUGGACUCAGUAGGAUGUGUGUGUGUGUGUGUGUGUGUGUGUGUGUGUGUGUGUGUGUGUGUAUGUGUACAUAUGUGUAUGUGUACAAAUGUAUAUAAUAAUAAGAAUUAUUGAAGAGGAGGUUAUGUGUUUAAGAGAUAGUUGGGGAAAUGGUAGGAAGUGAAAAGGGAAUAGGAAGAGAUAGAAAUUAUGGAAAUAUAAUACUAUUAUAUGAAUUAAUCAAAAAUAAAAUGUUUAAAUAAAGAAAGAGUAAAUGGCUGUGAGUGUUCUUCCCUAAAUAGGAUAUUGUCAUUGUUUAAUUUUGAGACAGGAUCUCAUUGUAUAGCUCUGUCUGGUCUAGGACUUGAAAUGUGGACCAGAUUAUCCUACCAGAGGCAGAUCUGCCUGCCUCUGCCUCUUGAGUGCUGAGAUUAAAGGGAUGUGCCACCAUAUCUAGCUAAACAAGACACCUUCAUUAAAUAUUCCUACCACUGCCAAGGCUCAGAGAACAUCUUAAUGAAGAGGUCAUAAGAAUGCAAAAGAUGGAGGAUGGGGAGGGCUGCUGUGACUUGAAGUCAUCUGGAUGUGGGUUCUUUUACCCAUGAACUCAUAGCAGCUGUGGCUCCCUGAAUAAAACCUGCACAAGAUCAAGCAAAAAACAAACAAACAAACAAACAAACAAAAAACAAAAAAGAAAAACAAAACCAAAACAAAACGAAACAAAAAAAACCCAAAACAAACAAACAAACAAAAAACCCAAAAAACAAAAACCAAAUCCCAGAAUAGUUGGGUGUAUAUGGAUACUUAUGAGGUCUGCUUAUUUAUUUUUCUAUUGCUGUAAUAUGACACCAUGACCAAGGCAACUUACAGAAGAGUUUAUUUGUGACUUACAGUUUCAGAGGGUGGGUGUCCAUGACCUUCAUGGUGGGAGGCAUGGCAACACACGAGAAGGUACGUUACUGGAGCAGUAGUUGAGAGCUUACAUCUUCAGACA